UUCUACUCCUGUAAUACCUCCUGUUCUACAUUCAAGGUGGCAGUGGCCAGAGCAUCCUCUGUUGGCUACACAAACAAGAUGCUCCAGAUGACCAACAAUGGGAAAUGCAUACUUUACAUUUUCCCUCUUCAAGAACAAAUUGACACUACACCCCUUCUCUAUUAAGCUGUGGAUGGGCUUGAUGGCGAUGAACCCAGCAGAGGUGACGACAUCAGCAGUCUGGCCUUUUCUUGGGACUUGCCACCAGCAAUUCAGAGAUGGCUAUUUCAACAUUUGGCAAUGCUUAACCAGAUGUCAUUCUGUGGCCAGACUGUCAGCAGAGUUCUUGAGGACAUGCAUAGAGACAGGCAAGUUUAUUUAUAAAUGGAUCAUUUAUUAUUGAAAUCAAAGCUUUACAAGUCCUUUUAUUUUAUUAUUAAAAUGCUGCUGAAGUUUUUGGCCAAGAUGGGAAAUCCCUACUGGUGGGGCCAUCCAGGCAGAGUACCUCACAUUUUCCUCCAUGCUGUUGCGCUGCACAUGCCUGGACCACAGUUGCAAAGACUUCUCCAGUCAUGUGAGUUCUCUGGAGUUACAUGAUU